rnacentral:lncRNA from 1 species
UCCGUGUCUCAGACGCCAGAUUCGCGACUCCGACUCCACGAGACCAUCUCCGGAGUCGAGACCCAACUUUGGCCACGACCCACAGCCCAUAGGCCCACAUGACCACAUUCCUUCGGCCGUUCGGCAUUUGAGCAUUUCCCAAUUGCUCUCUCCCUGAGGACCCAGACCCUAGAGCCUGCAAAACCCUUCCUUCCCCUUGCCCAUACCGAUCGAUCUCCCCCUUCAUCUAGUGCGAAACCCUAGAGCCUGCAGCGAGUCAGUCUCUUCAGCGUCCGGUAACUUUGGCGUCCGUCGACUGCAGGAAUCCCUUACCUACGAGGAGACCUGUCUUGGAGCCCAACAGCAGCCCACGCUUCGGUGAUCACACCUCCAUUGCCUACGAUUUCUGGGUGAGCCUUCUUCUCCUCCUCUUCUUCCUCUUUCCUUCCAGAAUCCCUUAAAAAUGGCCUUUUUUGCUCAUCCAUGUGAUUUAAUAGAGGGCAAUAAUCGUGCUGUAUAGGAGGGAGUUCUAUGUACCUGAUCAAUUGUGUUUCUUGGAUGGUGCUGGGUUUCCUGUGUUUGCGGGUUUUUAGAAGAGGAGGGGCGGAUUUGAGUUUGGACUUGAGUUUGAUCGCUGUUUGUUGUCCGUUCUGGGUCUACUGUUGCCGAAACCCUGUCAAAAUACUAACUUCUUGAACAGAUUUACCUGGUUUCCCGUUUAUAAUUUGCAAUUUAUACAAGGAAAAUCGCAGGGGGGAAAUGUUUUUUUUUUAGUGUUUUUUUCCGUCGUUUUCUCAUUUAUAGCUUGCAUUUAAAUCUAAAAAUGGUGGAAAAGAGAGAUCUUUUUAGCUGUUCGGGUGGAUUUCGCCUUGUUUUUUCUUUUUCAGCUGGUUACUGAACUCAUCAGGGAGCCCCAGUUUAGAUUCCGAUGGUUCUUUCUGGUUCCUCUCGAUGCGAGCAUUCUAAAGGCCGGCCACACAUUUGGGGCUUUUCAAUCUUUUCUUUAAUCAAUUGCAAAAAUCAGAUCUCUUCUAGAUUCCAAACGGGUUUUUUGCAUUGACGAGAGAUGGCACUGUUUUUGCUUGUUUGAUUGUCAGAUGACCUCAUUCUAUGAUUUUGAGUCUUUUCCAUUUUGGUAGUCCCCUUCCUCCAACAAAUUUGAUUUGACACCUAUUCACCCACUCCAUACAACUAUAUAUCUUUAGUUUGUGCAUGUCCUGUAACAUCAUAUGAUGAUGAAUAUUGUAACUACAUACAACAAUAUAUUUUUUGAUUUGCCUAUCCAUGCUCGUUGGUAUUAAUACUAUGUAUCUCAAUCAUGUCUUGUAACAGCCAUUGUUAUUAAAAUUGGUGAUUAGCUUAUGCUGAUAACAGUUAUUUUUAUUAUUAUAUUUACAUUAUUAAGUGUAUUAUAAUUUUUAUGUAUAGUUAACUAUAUAUCUUGAUAUAAAAAAAUAAUUUUUUUUAUAGCUAUUUUCUAUCCAGCCCAAUCAAGUUGGGCUGCAACUUGGCUUAUUUAGGGACUUUGAAAAGUUGCAAUGUAUACUUGAGUGUUAAUACUAACAAUUUGCGCGCCAACUAGGUCCGGCCCUUAAACGUUCAAAGACAAUUUCUACUGACAAGCCGGAACUGUUUCUCUGCUGUGAAAUCAUUUGACCACCCUC